rnacentral:rRNA from 1 species
UACGGAGGGAGCUAGCGUUGUUCGGAAUUACUGGGCGUAAAGCGCGCGUAGGUGGUUUGUUAAGUUGGAUGUGAAAGCCCCGGGCUCAACCUGGGAACUGCAUCCAAAACUGGCAAGCUAGAGUACGGUAGAGGGUGGUGGAAUUUCCUGUGUAGCGGUGAAAUGCGUAGAUAUAGGAAGGAACACCAGUGGCGAAGGCGACCACCUGGACUGAUACUGACACUGAGGUGCGAAAGCGUGGGGAGCAAACAGG